GACGAACGCUGGCGGCGUGCUAAUACAUGCAAGUAGAACGCUGAAGGAGGAGCUUGCUCUUCUGGAAGAGUUGCGAACGGGUGAGUAACGCGUAGGUAACCUGCCUGGUAGCGGGGGAUAACUAUUGGAAACGAUAGCUAAUACCGCAUAAGAUUGAAUAUCGCAUGAUAAUUGAUUAAAAGAUGCAAAUGCAUCACUACCAGAUGGACCUGCGUUGUAUUAGCUAGUAGGUGAGGUAACGGCUCACCUAGGCGACGAUACAUAGCCGACCUGAGAGGGUGAUCGGCCACACUGGGACUGAGACACGGCCCAGACUCCUACGAGAGGCAGCAGUAGGGAAUCUUCGGCAAUGGGGGCAACCCUGACCGAGCAACGCCGCGUGAGUGAAGAAGGUUUUCGGAUCGUAAAGCUCUGUUGUAAGAGAAGAACGAGUGUGAGAGUGGAAAGUUCACACUGUGACGGUAUCUUACCAGAAAGGGACGGCUAACUACAUGCCAGCAGCCGCGGUAAUACGUAGGUCCCGAGCGUUGUCCGGAUUUAUUGGGCGUAAAGCGAGCGCAGGCGGUUAGAUAAGUCUGAAGUUAAAGGCUGUGGCUUAACCAUAGCACGCUUUGGAAACUGUUUAACUUGAGUGCAGAAGGGGAGAGUGGAAUUCCAUGUGUAGCGGUGAAAUGCGUAGAUAUAUGGAGGAACACCGGUGGCGAAAGCGGCUCUCUGGUCUGUAACUGACGCUGAGGCUCGAAAGCGUGGGGAGCGAACAGGAUUAGAUACCCUGGUAGUCCACGCCGUAAACGAUGAGUGCUAGGUGUUAGGCCCUUUCCNGGGGCUUAGUGCCGUAGCUAACGCAUUAAGCACUCCGCCUGGGGAGUACG
rnacentral:rRNA from 1 species